ensembl:lncRNA
ACAGACCAACACAUCUCAUAUCACAGUGUUAUGGUUUAUUGUAUGUUUGUUUUAGUGUUUUCCUUAUUGGAUCGUGAUUACUGUCAUUACUUGAGUGAUGUUAUAUAGAGAGAAGGAGAGAGAAGGAGAGAGGAGGAGAGAGGAGGAGAGAGAAGGAGAGAGGAGAGAGAGGAGAGAGAAGGAGAAGAAAGAGCAUGAUAGAGAUGAUAGAAAGGGAUAAAGAGAGAUGUAAAAAGGGAUGUAGAAGGAGGUAGAGAGGUGUAGAGAGGGAUGUAGAAGGAGGUAGAGAGGUGUAGAAGGAGUUAGAGAGGAGUAGAAGGAGGUAGAGAGGUGUAGAAUAAGGUAGAGAGGUGUAGAAUGAGGUAGAGAGGUGUAGAGAGGGAUGUAGAAGGAGGUAGAGAGGUGUAGAAGGAGGUAGAGAGGUGUGGAGAGGUGUAGAAGGAGGUAGAGGGGUGUAGAAGGAGGUAGAAAGGUGUAGAAGGAGGUAGAGAGGUGUAGAAGGAGGUAGAGAGGUGUGGAGAGGUGUAGAAGGAGGUAGAGGGGUGUAGAAGGAGGUAGAGAGGUGUAGAAGGAGGUGGAGAGGUGUGGAAGGAGGUAGAGAGGUGUGGAGAGGGGGAUGGGAAUGGUAGAAUUACAUUUUAUCACAUACACACGUGCGACUGCACAGCUUGGAAUUACAGGUUUAACAUUUCACUCACCUAGCAUGCCUGUGUCUGUGUUUGUGUGUGUGUGUGUGUGUGUGUGUUUGGGUGUGUGUUCCAACAUUGCUCUUCGUUAGUUGAUCUAUGUUGUGUGUUUUUUGUGUGUGUGUUUGUUCCAUCAUUGCUUUUUGUUAGUUUAGGUAUUCAUUCAGAAUAGUUGGCGUUAGGUAUUAAUUUAGAGUAGUUAUGGUUAGGUAUUCAUUCAGAAUAGUUAGGGUUAGGUAUUCAUUCAGAAUAUUUGGGUUUAGGUAUUCAUUCAGAGUAGUUAUGGUUAGGUAUUCAUUCAGAAUAGCUAUGGUUAGUUAUUCAUCCAGAAUAGUUAGGUUUAAAUGUUUUUUCAAAAUAGAAUGGUUAGUUGUUAAGCUUCUGGUUAGGCUACUCUGAAGAGCUUGACUG